GAGCCACCUGUAGCGGAGGAAACAGCGUCUGCACCGUUAUAUUCACCGUCACACCGGCAGGACACGGGGCUUCUUCACCGUCCUCCUGAGGCGUUUUACAACCAAACACUUAAAAGAUGUUUCUCAGUUAUCUGCAUGUCGUGUUUCUCCUGGGCGCUGUCGUCAAAGGAAUGACAACAACAGAUUCCAUCACGACUAAUGUCACCACCGAAGAGAUAUCCACCACUCCUGCAACUUCCUACAUGAAUGUAACUGCAAGCUCAAAUACAAGCAGCAAUCAGUCAACCAGCAGUUUUCCAACUUCACCGCUAUCGACCACAGAGCCCUUCACAGCCUCAGUAGCUACAACAACUAUAGAAAGUGCCACAGCAGAAUCUACAACUCUAAAACCGUCCACCACCAAAGGAGAGACGACAUUCUCCCAGUCCAGCACUGAGUCCAGGAACACUACAGCAGCAGUCAACACCACCGGCAGCUUCACCACUGGCAGCCCAACUGACUCGCCAUCAGCUCCAACCAGCGGUACAACGCUGUCCACUGCAAUCCCAGAGACAAGCCAACCCACCAUCACUAGUGAGACUACAAAUACAGCCACCACACCUGCUCCAGAUCACACACUGACUCCAACUACACCGAUCACACACACAAGCAACGACACAUCUACCAUUACACCAAUCACAAGCAACGACACAACUACCAUUACACCAAUCACUAGCAACGACACAUCUACCAUUACACCAAUCACAAGCAACGACACAACUACCAUUACACCGAUCACAAGCAACGACACAACUACCAUUACACCAAUCACCAGCAACGACACAUCUACCAUUACACCGAUCACAAGCAACGACACAACUACCAUUACACCAAUCACCAGCAACGACACAUCUACCAUUACACCGAUCACAAGCAACGACACAUCUACCAUUACACCAAUCACAAGCAACGACACAUCUACCAUUACACCAAUCACAAGCAACGACACAACUACCAUUACACCAAUCACAAGCAACGACACAUCUACCAUUACACCAAUCACAAGCAACGACACAUCUACCAUUACACCAAUCACAAGCAACGACACAUCUACCAUUACACCAAUCACAAGCAACGACACAACUACCAUUACACCAAUCACAAGCAACGAUACAUCUACCAUUACACCAAUCACAAGCAACGACACAUCUACCAUUACACCAAUCACAAGCAACGACACAUCUACCAUUACACCAAUCACAAGCAACGACACAUCUACCAUUACACCAAUCACAAGCAACGACACAUCUACCAUUACACCAAAUACAAGCAACGACACAUCUACCAUUACACCAAUCACAAGCAACGACACAUCUACCAUUACACCAAUCACAAGCAACGACACAUCUACCAUUACACCAAUCACAAGCAACGACACAACUACCAUUACACCAAUCACAAGCAACGACACAUCUGCCAUUACACCAAUCACAAGCAACGACACAUCUACCAUUACACCGAUCACAAGCAACGACACAACUACCAUUACACCAAUCACAAGCAACGACACAUCUACAAUCACACCGACUACACAGUCCAACAACAACACAACCUUCAUUACAGCCACGACACAGCCCAGCAACAUCACAACAACUCCAGCAACCACACAAACCAGCAACGGCACAGCAAGUUCAACUACAGUAACUCCAGAAAACUCUACAGCUGUACUAACUACAACUACACUAAUAAACUCUACUAACACCUCUCCUGAGAGUCCUGCACCCACCAUCACACCCUCAUCCUCCACUAACACCUCAAACCCAACCCUAACACCUGGAACCCCACCCUCUUCCACUACCUCCAUCUCCAGCUCUCUCCCUGCAAGUAAUAGCACUGCUCCCACCACCGGAAAUACCACCACCCUUACUCCCUCAACAACAACCUCAGGAGUGACCGGCCACACCACUGUGGUUCAUUCAACUGAACCAUCUAGUGGCAGUACAACAGCCUCAUCCACCACCAUCACUGGCACCAGCCUGCGACCAACAGAAAUCACCACCAACAACUCCACCACAGCAGCCCCACCCAUCCCUCCAGUCAAAGUUUGUCCUUUCGUCCCGUGCCCACUUCAAAGCGUGUGUCUUAAUGGCACUUGCCAGUGUCUCUCUGGCAGCUACCUGGUGAAUGACCGCUGUGUACAGGCCCAAGUGUUCCCAGGCCAGCUUCAUCUCACAUCCUUGACAUUCACAAGUGAAAUGAGCAACAGGUCCUCUGUAAUAUUCCAGAAGACAGCGGCUCAAAUCUCAGCAUCGCUCAGAGAUGCCCUCAAAAACCAGCAGGGCUAUAAACAGUCUGAUGUUGUGCAACUUGAGUGAGUAUUUUGUCUUCCUACAGCAAAAAAUAUAUGAUGCCACUUUACAAAAUAUUUUUUUGUAACCUUCUUUGGUGCUUCACUUUUCUUUAGACCGGGAAGUGUGCAAGCAACUGUAAAUAACAUAUUUGAAAACACCAACACAAAUGAAACGUCUGUUGAUGAGGCCAUUCAGAAGGCUAUAGAGAACUCAGCAAAUCCAUUGUUGGCUGAUGCUACAUUUAGAGGUUAGUAGUUGCUGCUACACUGAUUGAUUUUGGAUGAGAACCUGACAUGUAUGAGCAACAGGCUACAUUAUUUCAAGAAGAGGAGGUUUUUCUCAUACACUUGUUUUACAUCUUCUCUGUUUUAGCUACAGACCUGUGUAUGCAGCAGCCAUUACCCUGUGAUGUCUCCACUACAUUGUGCACAAAUAGAAAUGGCCGGCCUGUUUGUUCCUGUAAAGAAGGCUUCAUCUCUAUCCUGUACUCAAACAGCACCUGCAAAGGUAAAAGAGACUAUUAAAUAUUCUUUAUUCAUCUCCUUUAUCAUGACUGGUGUUAGGUUUUUGCAAUUUUGACAAUGUACCUGGCACUAGAG
ensembl:lncRNA